rnacentral:rRNA from 1 species
AAGCAGUAAGGCUGAGUAUUAGGCAAAUCCGGUACUCGUUAAGGCUGAGCUGUGAUGGGGAGAAGACAUUGUGUCUUCGAGUCGUUGAUUUCACACUGCCGAGAAAAGCCUCUAGAUAGAAAAUAGGUGCCCGUACCGCAAACCGACACAGGUAGUCAAGAUGAGAAUUCUAAGGUGAGCGAGCGAACUCUCGUUAAGGAACUCGGCAAAAUGACCCCGUAACUUCGGGAGAAGGGGUGCUCUUUAGGGUUAACGCCCAGAAGAGCCGCAGUGAAUAGGCCCAAGCGACUGUUUAUCAAAAACACAGGUCUCUGCUAAACCGUAAGGUGAUGUAUAGGGGCUGACGCCUGCCCGGUGCUGGAAGGUUAAGAGGAGUGGUUAGCUUCUGCGAAGCUACGAAUCGAAGCCCCAGUAAACGGCGGCCGUAACUAUAACGGUCCUAAGGUAGCGAAAUUCCUUGUCGGGUAAGUUCCGACCCGCACGAAAGGCGUAACGAUUUGGGCACUGUCUCAACGAGAGACUCGGUGAAAUCAUAGUACCUGUGAAGAUGCAGGUUACCCGCGACAGGACGGAAAGACCCCGUGGAGCUUUACUGUAGCCUGAUAUUGAAAUUCGGCACAGCUUGUACAGGAUAGGUAGGAGCCUUUGAAACGUGAGCGCUAGCUUACGUGGAGGCGCUGGUGGGAUACUACC